CUUUUUCUUGACUAAUUUUCUUUCUUUUUAGUUCACCUUCUCCUUUUCUAUUCUUAUUAUUGGGAUUCUCCGAUGGUCAUUUUCCCAAAACUUAAAUGACUCAAGAGGUGCAUGAAUUCCUUUUGAGCUUGUUGUCUUUCAUUGGAUGAAAUAAAAUAAAGAUGCCCACUUACUCUUGCGGUACCACCUUACCUUAAUUACAUGUUCAAUCCUCUCUCUCCCUCUGUCUCUCUCGC
rnacentral:lncRNA from 1 species